GAAGUAACUUCUGCCUUCCUCACCAUUUCUGCUCACCUGCUGCCUACUCCACUCCCUGUGAUAUUUCUCAGCUGUGUUAUUUCCCACCUGGCGAUCACAUUGGCACAGCUACCAGUCACAUCCAACAAUCAGCAUGUACCCUGCUCCCUUCUUGCUGCCUGUACUUCCUCACAACAUCUCCAGCCAGUCCCUUCUGUGGGUAUCUGUGGCCCAGGGUUGGCUACCAGCAUGGACACUCCUAGAGAAAGGUGUAAAGUAGGAGAAAGUAAGCACAAGCUCUGCAGACACUUGAUGGCAGCAGGAGAAGAGGAUCAGAAACUAAGCUUAAAACAGGGGGGAAGAACUUGUGUCACUGAUAUACAAGACCUGGCAUUUGACCAGGUCUCAGUGAACACAAGGUGCCAGUGCUUGCUUGGUUCUCAGCAGUUGUCUCACUGCUCCAGGACAGAGAGCCUCUUGGCCACCUCUCACAAACCUAGGAUGAUCCCAGUGGAGGCUGCACAAGCGGAUUAAUGUGAUUAACUCAGCGAGUGUGAGGGAGGGUGAAAAUGGCUGCUGCCAGCCCUGUGCCACCAUUGCCACCUGCUGCCAUCACCUUCAGCUGCCAUUGCCUGAGUCAGGUGCUGUGCCUGUACAGGGGGUGGCCCUGUCUCUAAAAUCUCUUCAGAUUUUGCAUUUAAAAUAAGGUAUAAGUAAGCUUAUAUAGUAAACUAGAUAAGGAAUAACAGAUCUGAAAAGGAGCCUUCUGGUUUCUGGGUCUGCCCUGCAAAGCAUAAAAUGCAGUAUCAAGCAGCAGUGCUUCCAUUGUGCUCUAGUUUACACCAGGUCAAAUUUCUAGGAAAAAGAAGAGGUGCUCACUCAAGUCCUGGUUCAUAAAUGCCAUAAGCACUAGCACACAAAUCUAGACAUUAUCAGCGUGUUAACUUGCUACUUUUCUAAUAAAAAUAUAUUCUAAUGGCCUAGGUCUUGGCUGUUAGGAAGAGAAUUAAUAAUAGAGAUCUUAUGUUAAAAGUAAGUCUUACAUAAAAUCCUCAGGACUUACUGGAAAGCAUUUACUUUGUUUACAGAAGAAGCAAAGAAUACUGAGGUGAGUUUCCCUCUGAUUCUAUACCUGUAAACAAACGUGCAGUGCUGGGAGUGGCUAGGCAAGUUCGUUAGGUGCUGGUGGAAGAUUUGUUUUACCUGCUCUGAGAACUGAUGGGGGCAGCCUGUGAGCUUUUCCAGCUUCCUCUCUCCUUUCACAAUGCAGGAGGUGUGGCCAAGGUACCUCCAUGCAUUUUGGCAUGGGGAAGAUGAGGGCUGACCUAGUGUGAGCAGGAACUUCUCUGUUGUUUUGUGCAUCUCAGAGGUGCUAAGGUUUAUAACUGUGAGCUGUUGUCUUGGAGUCUUUGCAAUCACAUGGAGUUCAUUGGCAGUGUCCUCCCCAUAGCAGGCAGCGGAGUGACGCUAGGCUUGGGACAGAGCAAGAUUUUGUCUUCCUGUGACUGGAUAGCGUUGGAACCUGUGACCUGAAAUGAAAGGUCUGAAUCUCUCAAGGUAUCAGGGUGUUUUAUGGAAGAGGAACCAGGCAUCUGCUGGGGGAAAGAGAGGAUUACUGGGCCUGCAAAGAAUUCAGUCUGAACAAAAUAUACACAAAAUACAAUUUGCAAGCCAGCUUACAGUGACUUCCUGACCAAUGGACACUGAAGAACCAAACAAAGCAGCACAACGGAACGCAGCAGAUACAGG